rnacentral:misc_RNA from 1 species
AAGUCGUAACAAGGUUUCCGUAGGUGAAUCUGCGGAAGGAUCAUUACAAAUCCACGUCUCUACUCGAGACUCGUUGAAACGUUGAGGGCUCUGCUGCUGCUUGCGUGACUGAGUGGCCUUAAACAGCCCUUGUCCCUGGCAGCCAGCAGUACCCUCUAAAAAAACCUGUGAUUUGUUGAACAGUCGUAUUAAAUUAAAUUUUAAACAACUUAUAACAAUGGAUCUCUAGGCUCUU